GAGCACUUUGCUGUGUGUCACAGAGCCUGACAAGUUUGUGAGCAGCCUUGGAGGGGACAAGAGCUGGGCAGUCCUGGUGACACCUGCCACCUCUCCUGGCGAGGACUCCACUCCAUGGGCUUCAAAUUUCUGCCUGGGAAGCUGCUGUGGUUGGAGCUGCAAUAGGCUGAUGGGUAAAUCUUCUGUCCCAUCCUCUCUGCUUAAUCUGGGAUUCUCAAAGAUAUUCACAUGUCAGAGAAGAUUACCUCAUUAUAGUUGGUCAGUGAGUGAAGAGAAUCAUUUUCUUGCCCAGCAACAAUAAUUGCCUAUUCCAUAAAAUACUUCAACAACAUUGGACCUCUUUUUGCUUGCUUUUUGGAUGCUGUCCAAAAUGGCAGAACCCUUGCAGGGCCAGACUGGCUCCAAAUGAAUUUACAGUCUUUAAGCUGUUGGGGCUGAAUAUUGGCUCAGCUGUUCAUGGGAUGCUUUUGCUGACAGACCCAAACUUUUAUCUUAGACCUGAACCUCAGAAUGUCAGCCGAAUCUUGCUCCAGUUCUGCAAAAGGAAGUAUCACGACCAGCAUUUCUGCAGAGGCUGUUUGGACUUGCCCAGUACCUCUGUGCUGGCACAUGCGCUCCUGCCCACGCAGCAUCUGGGACACCCCUCCGGCUGUGACCUAACCCCAUCCUUCUCCUGCUCUGUGCUGGGCUGCCCUUCCAGGAUGUCCAACCCCAUGGGCAGGAUGGAGGCUGGGACGCCACAGCCCAGGAUCUAAUCCCAGCUCUUGGCUGUGGGGAUGCAACAAAUUCACUGUCAGCAAAA